GCACGGGCCGUCCUCCCCAACAAUAUCCUGGUGCUGAGUGAUAACACGGCAACUCCAGCAUCAGUGAUUUUGUUGAAGAGGGCAGCUGCCA
rnacentral:pre_miRNA from 1 species